rnacentral:ncRNA from 1 species
ACGGUUUCGUGAGAUUUAAUAGGGAACACGGUGAAAAUCCGCGACAGUACCCGCUGCUGUAAGUUCCAUCGAAAGUUCGGACAACCUGCCACUGACCUAUGGUUGGGAAGGCGUCCGGGCGGAACAAGUCAGAAGACCUGCCAUGAACGUAUA